UAGACUCUGCCAGACUCUGCUGCUCAUUGGUGGAAUGACCUUGGGCAGUCCGCUUCGCUGACCCUCAGUCUCCCCGUUUGUGAAAUAGGAUGACAUGAGAUUAAUUGAGCUCUGUCUUUGCAAUGAGGUGUCUCAGAGCUGAAGAAUCUCAGGGUCUACAUACUCACAACACAGCCUUGGACUCUCCUCAGCAGGCACAUCUACUGAUAGCAGGCUUUUGACCAUGGUGGCUCCUUCAGGGAUCCAGCUGACGCUUCUGUGGGGGGCACUGUCUGCUCAGUGCCCUUCCCUUCUCUUGGGAAUGGCAGACAAUCUCUGCAUCAUCCAGAGUGUAGGCUGCCAUGUUCCUCUUGGGCGCUGUCCAUAGCCUAUUGGUCACAGGCUUCCUGCUGACCUCUGCACAUACAUGUGUGAAUCACCCAAGGAGUCUCUGUCUGAGAGCUAGUGAGAGGAACCUCUCCCAUCCAUCUUCAUGGCCGAAGACACAAAGGCAAGAGUGACUGAGGUGUGGCACAGGACAUGACUCCCAGAAGGCGACAAGCACCCAGGACCUCCUAGAAGAUGGCAAGUACAGGGACCACCUCUCCGACUCUCUUGUUUAUAGAGGAGGAAGAUGAGACUCAGAGACGAGCAGUGAUUUUUCUCUGGGCUGCACAGCAGGUUUGAGCCAGGGUUGCAUAGUGAAGCCUACACAGGCUUAAGGCACUGGUAGCCCUCUCAAGGGGAGUGCACUGCCUUCCACCCAGCAGAACUGCACAUCAGGCUGCAGCUGCCAACUGUGGGCAGGGCCUCCUGACCUCUCCUUACCCAAUGUAUCAUUCAUCUACACAGGACUGUGGAAGAAACCUGCUUGUUCAUUUCUCCACCCCUCAUUCAUCCUCUCAGCCAAUAAGAUGUUAGCAAAGCCCUCCUAUGUGUCUUAUAUCUCUGCCAAUCAUUUGGAUAUA